CCCAACUAUCCCUAUUAAUCAUUACGUCAAUCCUAGAAACCAACAAAAUAGGAUCGAACGUCCUAUUUCAUUAUUCCAUGCUAAUGUAUUCAAGCGUUAGCCUGCUUUAAACACUCUAAUUUUUUCAAAGUAACAGUCCAGAUUCCCUGCAACACCAAAUUAAUGGCAUUACAGUUCAUCAGGAAGGAGGAAUCAGUAAGACCAGUACGUACCGGUGGCACGACCAGCCUACUAACCCCGAAAUUCAACUACGAGCUUUUUAACUGCAACAACUUUAAUAUACGCUAUUGGAGCUGGAAUUACCGCGGCUGCUGGCACCAGACUUGCCCUCCAA
rnacentral:misc_RNA from 1 species